GAUGAACGCUGGCGGCGUGCCUAAUACAUGCAAGUCGAGCGAACGGACGAGAAGCUUGCUUUUCUGAUGUUAGCGGCGGACGGGUGAGUAACACGUGUAUAACCUACCUAUAAGACUGGGAUAACUUCGGGAAACCGGAGCUAAUACCGGAUAAUAUUUUGAACCGCAUGGUUCAAAAGUGAGAGACGGUCUUGCUGUCACUUAUAGAUGGAUCCGCGCUGCAUUAGCUAGUUGGUAAGGUAACGGCUUACCAAGGCAACGAUGCAUAGCCGACCUGAGAGAGUGAUCGGCGGCACUAGAGGUGAGACACGGUCCAGACUCCUGAGGGAGGCAGCAGUAGGGAAUCUGACGCAAUGGGCGAAAGCCUGACGGAGCAACGCCGAGUGAGUGAUGAAGAUCUUCGGAUCGUAAAACUCUGUUAUUAGGGGAGAACAGAUGUGUAAGUAACUGUGCAGAUCUUGACGGUACCUAGUCAGAAAGCCACGGCUAACUACGUG
rnacentral:rRNA from 1 species